rnacentral:sRNA from 1 species
CCCAGCAACUACGUGGCCCCCGGCGCCCCCGCUGCACCCGCGGGCCUCCAGCUGCCCCAGGAGAUCCCCUUCCACGAGCUGCAGCUAGAGGAGAUCAUCGGUGUGGGGGGCUUUGGCAAGGUCUAUCGGGCCCUGUGGCGUGGCGAGGAGGUGGCAGUCAAGGCCGCCCGGCUGGACCCUGAGAAGGACCCGGCAGUGACAGCGGAGCAGGUGGCCCGGGGCAUGAACUACCUACACAAUGAUGCCCCUGUGCCCAUCAUCCACCGCGACCUCAAGUCCAUCAACAUCCUGAUCCUGGAGGCCAUCGAGAACCACAACCUCGCAGACACGGUGCUCAAGAUCACGGACUUUGGCCUCGCCCGCGAGUGGCACAAGACCACCAAGAUGAGCGCUGCGGGGACCUACGCCUGGAUGGCACCGGAGCUUCGGGGUGCUGCUGUGGGAGCUGCUGACGGGGGAGGUCCCCUACCGUGAGAUCGACGCCUUGGCCGUGGCGUAUGGCGUGGCUAUGAAUAAGCUGACGCUGCCCAUUCCCUCCACGUGCCCCGAGCCCUU